AUAACCCCACAACCACUUCACAUGUGGCCUUUCUUCUGACUAUAUCCUUCCAGCCCUGGGAUUCUGAUUGCCGGUCAGGUUUCCCUGUUAUGACUCUACAUGCCUUGGGUCUUUCUCAUUCCCAGGAAAAGUAAAGUGGGAAGAGAGAGGCGUGGACAACUGAUGCAUGGCACAUAGGGGCCCAUGAUCAGCAGCAUCUUCAUUAAACUUUUAAUACCACAUAUUCAGCGACAGACCACAGAUGUCAUUUUUAUAUCUGGAUGAAAUGAGAGACUUGCUCCUCUUGCUCUGCCUUGGAUGCCCUACUUGCAAAUACAGUCUCACUUACUAUUUCUA